AUGUUCUGGGUUGUAUUCAGCCCAGUAUGCACAGCCCCUUUGGCCACACCCACUGCUCCAGUGAGCCCAGUGGCCACAGUAUCUUUGGUGCCGGUCGAGACAGUCUUGGUGGUGUCCAUGCCAGUCUGGAUGGCCCCCUUGGCCACACCCACUGCCCCAGUGAGCCCAGUGGACACCACAUCUUUGGUGCCGGUUAAGACAGUCUUGGUGGAGUCCAUGCCAGUCUGGACGACCCCCUUGGCCACACCCACUGCCCCAGUGAGCCCAGUGGACACCACAUCUUUGGUGCCUGUCAAGACGGUCUUGGUGGUGUCCAUGCCAGUCUGGACGGCCCCCUUGGCCACACCCACUGCCCCAGUGAGCCCAGUGGCCACUGUAUCUUUGGUGCCUGUCAAGACGGUCUUGGUGGUGUCCAUGCCAGUCUGGACGGCCCCCUUGGCCACACCCACUGCCCCAGUGAGCCCAGUGGCCACUGUAUCUUUGGUGCCAGUCAGGACGGUUUUGGUGGUGUCCAUGCCAGUCUGGACGACCCCCUUGGCCACACCCACUGCCCCAGUGAGCCCAGUGGCCACUGUAUCUUUGGUGCCUGUCAAAACAGUCUUGGUGGUGUCCAUUCCAGUUUGGACGGCCCCCUUGGCCAUGUUCACUGCCCCAGUGAGCCCAGUGGACACUGUAUUUUUGGUGCCAGUCAAGGCAGUUUUGGUGGUGUCCAUGCCAGUUUGGACGGUCCCCUUGGCCAUGUUCGCUGCCCCAGUGAGCCCAGUGGCCACUGUAUCUUUGGUGCCUGUCAAGACAGUCUUGGUGGUGUCCAUGCCAGUUUGGACGGCCCCCUUGGCCACACCCACUGCCCCAGUGAGCCCAGUGGCCACUGUAUCUUUGGUGCCAGUCAAGAUGGUCUUGGUGGUGUCCAUUCCAGUUUGGAUGGCCCCCUUGGCCACACCCAUUGCCCCAGUGAGCCCAGUGGCCAUUGUAUCUUUGGUGCCAGUCAAGAUGGUCUUGGUGGUGUCCAUGCCAGUCUGGACAGUCCCCUUGGCCAUGUUCACUGCCCCAGUGAGCCCAGUGGCCACUGUAUCUUUGGUGCCUGUCAAGACGGUCUUGGUGGUGUCCAUGCCAGUCUGGACAGUCCCCUUGGCCAUGUUCACUGCCCCAGUGAGCCCAGUGGCCACUGUAUCUUUGGUGCGUCAAGAAGUUUGGUUGGUGUCAUGCCAGUUUGGACAGGCCCCCUUGGCCACACCCACUGCCCCAGUGAGCCCAGUGGCCACUGUAUCUUUGGUGCCAGUCAAGACGGUCUUGGUGGUGUCCAUUCCAGUUUGGAUGGCCCCCUUGGCCACACCCAUUGCCCCAGUGAGCCCAGUGGCCAUUGUAUCUUUGGUACCAGUCAAGAUGGUCUUGGUGGUGUCCAUGCCAGUCUGGACAGUCCCCUUGGCCAUGUUCACUGCCCCAGUGAGCCCAGUGGCCACUGUAUCUUUGGUGCCUGUCAAGACGGUCUUGGUGGUGUCCAUGCCAGUCUGGACAGUCCCCUUGGCCAUGUUCACUGCCCCAGUGAGCCCAGUGGCCACUGUAUCUUUGGUGCCAGUCAAGAUGGUCUUGGUGGUGUUCAUGCCAGUUUGGAUGGCCCCCUUGGCCACACCCACUGCCCCAGUGAGCCCAGUGGCCACUGUAUCUUUGGUGCCUGUCAAGACGGUCUUGGUGGUGUCCAUGCCAGUCUGGACAGUCCCCUUGGCCAUGUUCGCUGCCCCAGUGAGUCCAGUGGACACUGUAUCUUUGGUGCCAGUCAGGACGGUUUUGGUGGUGUCCAUGCCAGUCUGGAUGGUCCCCUUGGCCAUGUUCAUGGCGCCAGUCACCCCACUGCAGACGGUGUCCUUGGUUCCGGUCAGCACAGUCUUGGUGGUGUCCACACCUGUCUGAACGGCCCCUUUGGCCACACCCACUGCCCCUGUUACCCCACUGGCCACAGCAUCCUUGGUGCCUGUGAGCGUCGAUCGGGUCAUGCCCAGGCCUCCCUGGACCACGCCUUUAGCUGUGUCCACCACGCUGGCCAUCCCAGAGGAGAUGGCAUCCUUGGUCUUGGUCAUCUUGGAGCACACCAGGUCCUUUGCUCCGGAGAUCAUCUAAUGAGGAAGUACAGUCAUGAUCAAGCAUAGAGUUGAGAGGCACCUAACCACCCCCAACCUCCUCCGUUGAUUCCUCAUGUGCCCUGGGGAGAGGGACAUCCCCCCCAUCAGCCCUGCCUGCUCAGCUCCCACCCAGCAUACCUCCUCCCUGCUUUCAGGACACAGCCUCAACAAGCUCUGCUACAGUGGUCCCCCUGAUUCAGGAGACCCCCCACCACUGACACUGCUUCUGAGCACUUCUGGGACCCUCCUGAGCUCGCUCAGCAGGCCACUGAAUUACACAAUUGUUCAUCUUGCCUAAUCUCUAUUUAUGGCAAAUUUUCAGCCUGGUUUUCUCAUUAUAGGGAGAAGUUUGAGGAGACCAGAUGCUUCUUAAAAUGAAUGUAUUCAAGUAAGAGAAGAGGAUCAACGUUUAGAAAAAUAACAGGAAAAGCACAGGUGAAGCACAGGGCGUGCACCACAGCCAGCUGUCAGUAACUUGAGUUUUCGACCUUCCAAAGGGCAGCUUUCUCUAGUUCAUCGUUUAAACUGCUGAAGGGUUGUGGUGGCCUCAGGGUCACCACCCCCCAGGUCAUGCUGUUUCCAAUUCAGGGGUUCUUAGCUGGGGCGAUCCUACCCCCAGCGAUGUCUGGGGACACCUGUCGCGGUUACAACUUCGGGGAGUGGGUGUUCCAGGCAUGGAGUGGGUGAGGGCAGGGAGGCCGCUGCACACCCCCCAGCGCCUGGGACACCCCCCACAAUGAGUGACCCAGCCGUGUAUUGUCCGGAAGGCUGAGGCUGAGAAGCCCUGAGCACUUUGCAAGUAGCAGGUGCUCCAUUAACACGAAUGAGGAUGAGUGGAGGGGGCAGGGAGAAAAGAUGUGGAGGGGUCCCUCAGCUGCGGGGGUCUGUUUUAAUUUGGGCCAGAGGGUGAGCCUGCUGGUUCUUCCCCCUCUGAGAUGCUCCAGUCUGGCUGAAUUGAGGGCAGAGGGGAGUUGAGGAAGGCUCCAGAGUGGGGCGUGUGCUGGGUGGAAGGGUUAUAUUAGGGCUCUGCCAUGCCUGCUGUGGCCCUCAGCUGUCUUACACCAGCCACUCUGCUUGUCCAGGCCUUGGGGACACGAUAACAUGGGCAGUCCCCAUUUAUCCAAGACUGAGGAUAGAUGCAGUGUCAGCUAUUAUUCAGCCUCUGCCUGCCCAAGAUUCAGAUCCCACACUACCCUGUCUUGCUGUGUGACCUUCAGCAGGUAGCUUGGCAUCUCUGUGCUUCAGCUAUUGUGCAGGGUACUACUGCUCCCUUCCUCACAGGGCGGUUGGGAGGAUUAAUUACUAAGCAGCACGUGUGAAGUGCUUAGCCCAGACCCUAACAGGUGGUGAGUGAGUUACCACUGUUUCAGCUAGGCCUGGAGCGGGGUGGUAGGUGUGUAGACCGUAUGGAGCCUUAUUGUUUCAGGUAGUGAGGCAGUACUGCACCCAUUUCACAGAUGUGGAAACAAAGGCCUAGAGAGGAAGACUGCCUGGAAUCCCACAGUGGGACACACAAGGGUGCCUGCCCUCACCCUGGCCUAUGACAGCCCCCCCAGAUGGCAGGAACCAAAACAUCCCAGGAAGAGGUAGCCCAGAGGGAGACGGAAGCCAUCAGACUAGGCUCUGCCAGCUUCUCUCACCUUGUCUGAAGGCGGCAGCAUCUUCUCUGCCCCCUUGGCCAUCUGCUCCGGGUCGGUGGCCGCUGUGGGGACAAGAGCCAGUCAGGCAACCCAGGGAGGGUGAGGGACACAGGCUGGCAUCAGCCGCCCUGGUGCCCAUUGCACAAUCGGUGGGCAAAGCCUGAAAGGUCAGGAAUGUCCUAGCCUCCCUAUAGGGACAGCAGAAGGUGACAUCCACAGCCGUGGGCCUGGCUCAGUCACUAGCCCCGCCGGGGGCUCCCUCAAUCCCCAGGGCCUCGGUCCCCUGGAGCAGGGGUUCUGUGGAGUUUUCUCUGCCUGGGUCCUGGGUGCUGGGUGCCCACCCGGGGGGCUGCAGGGAGAGGAGUCGGGGCUCACUCUGCCCCACCCCCACCCCCGCUGGCAGCUGCCUGUGGGCCUGAGGACAUGGAACAGAAGUCAGCUGGCUGCGCUCCAGGCCCAGAGCAGGGCCCAGCCCGGGCAGCCACUCCAACCUGAACUUCCCUGCACUAGCUCGUCUUCUGGCCUUGGGGCUGGGGCUGCCCCGGGCACCCUGGCUGAGCAACAGUGUGACCUCAGGGAAGCUGCUGCCUCCCUCUGGGAACACAGUCAAAAUCUGCGAUGAGCUGAGACAUGCAGAACACCCAGCCCCUGGUCCUUGGUGCAUCUGAAAGGGGGUGAGGGUAAGCAGAGAAGGGGUUGAGAGUGUGGGGGGCACUGCUGUGUUCACACCCCCAUCUCACUGGCUAUGCCACCUCAGACUACUCCCGCUCCACAUUUAUGCCUCAGUUUCCCAUCUGGCGCUAAAUAACUGUGCCAGCCUCAUUGGGUCUAUUGAGAUGAUGCAGGCACAUAUGAAGUGCCCCCCCAAGAUGGGCAGGAGUCCCUGCCAGGGCACCCCCAUUCCUGAGGCCCACCUCCAGAGCCCCCGCCUCCACGGAGCUGUGCACUCACCCUGAGCCUGGGGCUGGGCGGCCUCGGGGGCUGGAGCACCUGCAGGAUCUGCAACUGGCCGGGACUCUCUUGCUGAGCUGUGGGUGUUGGCCACCAGGUUCCGAGCAGAACUGAAGCCAGGCAGGGACCCGAAGAAGCUGCCCAGGGUCUACAUGGGGUGGGGGGCAACAUGAGUGGAGCCAGGCUGUGGCGGGGGUGGGGCAAGGGAAGCAUCAGACAGCCCUGGGUUCCAAACCGCCUUGGGCCCUUGCUCCUGGGCGACCUCAGGGACGUGUACUAGCCACUCUGAGCCUCAGUCUCUUCGCCUGGGCAGUGGGCAGGUUCAGCCUGCCUCCCGUGGACAGAGGAAAAGUUCCUCCUCUACGUCUCCAGAGGCCUUUUCCUUCCAUGGCCCACAUUUCACAGAUGGGGAAACUGAGGCUCAGAGAGGAGCCAAGGCAGGCCCAAGGUCACACAGAGGGGAAGGAGCUGAGGCUUGUGUCCCCCACCCUCCAGCCUGAGACUGGAGAGAAGAUUGGCACUGUGGCUCUCAGAGCCCUCCCACCCCGCCUGGGGAAGCCCCACCGGACCCCAGGACUUUGGAGGUCCCUUUCCCAGGGUUCUGGGGGCUCUCCGUGCCCCAGCUGGAGUCUCCCCCUCCUGCCUCCUCUCACCUUGCCCUUGGGUUUAGGGGGGUCCCGGCCUCCUUCAUCUUGAGCAGACAUGGUAAUCCUCUAAGAAGCUAGAAGGAGGCAGAGAAAGAGCGUGAAAGGGGGCUUCAGGCCUCCUGCCGCACACUCAGAACCCCGAGGAGCCCCCGAUGCCCGCCUGGAGGCCAGCCGCGCCCUGGGAUUGCCCACCUGGACCAUGCAGCAGUCCCCGGGAGUGACGGGCAGCACCGCUGGCAGCUGGCUCUGCUCUCGGCUCCCAGGCCUUAUAGGGUCUG
rnacentral:lncRNA from 1 species